GGAAUAAUAGCUGAGUGGUAGAGUCUGUGCUUAGCAUGCACGAGGUCCUGGGUUCAAUCCUCAGUACCUCCA
rnacentral:tRNA from 1 species